rnacentral:rRNA from 1 species
UACGGAGGGUGCAAGCGUUGUUCGGAUUUAUUGGGCGUAAAGCGCGUGUAGGCGGUCUUCUAAGUCUGAUGUGAAAGCCCUGGGCUCAACCCAGGAAGUGCAUUGGAUACUGGGAGACUUGAAUACGGGAGAGGGUAGUGGAAUUCCUAGUGUAGGAGUGAAAUCCGUAGAUAUUAGGAGGAACACCGGUGGCGAAGGCGGCUACCUGGACCGAUAUUGACGCUGAGACGCGAAAGCGUGGGGAGCAAACAGG